rnacentral:rRNA from 1 species
AUGGAGCGUCUAGACGGGUGAGAAUCCCGUCUUUGACACGGACUACCGAGGCUUUGUGGUGCGCUCUCAAAGAGUCGAGUUGUUUGGGAAUGCAGCUCAAAAUGGGUGGUAAAUUCCAUCUAAAGCUAAAUAUUGGCGAGAGACCGAUAGCGAACAAGUACCGUGAGGGAAAGAUGAAAAGAACUUUGGAAAGAGAGUUAAACAGUACGUGAAAUUGCUGAAAGGGAAACGCUUGAAGUCAGUCGCGUUAGCUGGAAAUCAGCCUUGCUUUUGCUGGGUGUACUUUCUGGUUGACGGGCCAGCAUCAGUUUUGACCGGUGGAAAAAGUCUGGAGGAAUGUGGCAUCUUCGGAUGUGUUAUAGCCUUUGGUCGUAUGCAUCGAUUGGGACUGAGGAACUCAGCACUUGUGCUUAGGAUGCUGGCAUAAUGGCUUUAAUCGACCCGUCUUG